CAGCCGCCGCGGGAAUACGAGAGGGGCAAGCGUUGUUCGGAAUUAUUGGGCGUAAAGGGUGCGUAGGCGGUUUGAUAAGUCACAUGUGAAAUCUUCGGGCUCAACCCGAAGUCUGCAUGCGAAACUGUCGGGCUUGAGUAUUGGAGAGGUGAGUGGAAUUUCCGGUGUAGCGGUGAAAUGCGUAGAUAUCGGAAGGAACACCUGUGGCGAAAGCGGCUCACUGGACAAUAACUGACGCUGAUGCACGAAAGCUAGGGGAGCAAACAGGAUUAGAGACCCGAGUAGUCCCUGUCUCUUAUAC
rnacentral:rRNA from 1 species